rfam:Bacillus sp. FJAT-22058 super1, whole genome shotgun sequence.
GUCUAUCUUCGGGGCGGGGCGCAAUUCCCCACCGGCGGUGAUGAAGGAAUUUCUACUUCUAAGCCCGCGAGCCUUACAAGGCAGGAUUUGGUGUGAUUCCAAAGCCGACAGUAUAGUCUGGAUGGGAGAAGAUGGAG